CCCUUAGAUGUCCUGGGCCGCACGCACGCUACACUGAGUGUCUGAGAUACGAGUCUGCCUGGUCCGGCAAGGUCUAGGUAAUCGCUAAAAGACACAUCAUGCUUGGGAUAGAUUAUUGCAAAUAUUAAUCUUGAACGAGGAAUUCCUAGUAAGCGCAAGUCAACAGCUUGCGUUGAUUACGUCCCUGCCCUUUGUACACACCGCCCGUCGCUACUACUGAUUGGAUGUUUAAGCGAGGUUCUCGAACUGCUAGCGACUUAGCUUCGGUGAGGUCGCAGUGUGGGAAGUGAACCUAGCUUUGGUGUCUAGAGGAAGUAAAAGUCGUAACA
rnacentral:rRNA from 1 species